CCGGUGAAGCGGAGCACCCCAGAGUCGCCUUCUUCUUUCAGCGCCGGCGCCUCAAGAGCAAGGCUGCGAUACUGGCGUACGUGGAAGUGGCAGAGCUUACAGGUUUGCGUCAAGAAGAAGGUCUAUGCGUAGCUCUGUUCUUCCUCUUUCCGUGUGCUUCCCCCAGAAACUGUGAACGUCUACGGUUGCUUCCAAGUGCUGGGAAGCAGGUGAUGAUGCGUCUGUUUUCUUAGAAGAUUUCUCAUUAUUAUUAUUAUUAUUAUUAUUAUUGGAAAUGCUGCUUUUACCAAAGGCGAGAAUGCUCUGUUAGGAAUUUACAUUACUAACGUGGACUGCGAUGGAAUGGCUGAAUGCAGUUACCUUAAGUUUUUGUGGAGGCCUAUUUGUCUUCAACUUAACAAAACUAGAACUUCUAACUUUA